rnacentral:rRNA from 1 species
UACGGGGGGGGCAAGCGUUGUUCGGAAUUACUGGGCGUAAAGGGCUCGUAGGUGGCCAACUAAGUCAGACGUGAAAUCCCUCGGCUUAACCGGGGAACUGCGUCUGAUACUGGAUGGCUUGAGUUUGGGAGAGGGAUGCGGAAUUCCAGGUGUAGCGGUGAAAUGCGUAGAUAUCUGGAGGAACACCGGUGGCGAAGGCGGCAUCCUGGACCAUUACUGACACUGAAAAGCGAAAGCCAGGGGAGCAAACGGG